GUAACAACACUUCCAUAUGCUAGAGAUCGAGUAGUUGAAUGUUACUUUUGGGCAUUAGGAGUUUAUUUUGAGCCUCAAUACUCUCAAGCUCGCGUCAUGCUCGUUAAGACUAUAUCAAUGAUUUCGAUUGUCGAUGAUACCUUUGAUGCUUACGGUACAGUUAAAGAACUUGAGGCAUACACAGAUGCCAUACAAAGGUAUGAACUUCAUCAAUUUACUUAUUUAUAUAUCAAUGAUUUCGAUUGUCGAUGACACCUUUGAUGCUUAUGGUACAGUUAAAGAACUUGAGGCAUACACAGAUGCCAUACAAAGGUAUGAACUUUAUCAAUUCACUUAUUCUGGUAUUCCUUGACAGUGAAUGUU
rnacentral:lncRNA from 1 species